AUUUCGGAGGAGCACGAUGUUUCGGAGGAGCAUUGAUGAUUCCCAUUGGGAUCCCACUCCAGAAGUCGUCCCUCUUUCGCCGAAGCCUCUCAGAGAAGAACCCCCCUUGAUGUCCCACUCUGGAACUUCACCACCCAUCGGUGCGACCCUCGGGAUGCCCCUCCUCCCACUGAUGGGAAUAUUCGUGGGCCCAUGGGAAGGCCGUGGA
rnacentral:lncRNA from 1 species